CGGCCACUCAGAGCGUUUCCCGGCGGUGUCCAGCAGGGGGCGCCAUCCCCCCGUUAAAACUCAUUGCGGCCAAUGGGGAACGGCUGGAACCCGGCAGCGACCGGCUCAGAGUCACCGACAGCCAAGAGUGUGGGGUGAGACCCUAUAGGGGACCCUAUAAGGAACCCUAUAAGGGACCCUAUAACAACAGACCCUAUAAGGGACCCUAUAACAUACCCUAUAACAACAGACCCCAUAACAGACCCCAUAACCGGCCCUAUAAGGCCCUAUAGGGGACCCCACAGCCAGCAGUGUGGGGUGAGACCCUAUAGGGGACCCUAUAACCGGCCCUAUAGGGGACCCUAUAUAACAACAGACCCCAUAACAGACCCCAUAACCGGCCCUAUAAGGGACCCCAGAACCGGCCCUAUAAGGGACCCUAUAACAGACCCUAUAAGGGACCCUAUAAGGAACCCUAUAAGGAACCCUAUAAGGGACCCUAUAACAUACCCUAUAAGGGACCCCAUAACCGGCCCUAUAGGGGACCCUAUAACAGACCCUAUAGGGGACCCUAUAACAGACCCUAUAACCGGCCCUAUAGGGGACCCUAUAACAGACCCUAUAACAACAGACCCCAUAACAGACCCUAUAACAGACCCUAUAAGGGACCCUAUAAGGGACCCUAUAACUGGCCCUAUAACAGACCCUAUAAGGGACCCUAUAAGGGACCCUAUAAGGAACCCUAUAAGGGACCCUAUAACAGACCCUAUAAGGGACCCUAUAAGGGACCCUAUAAGGGACCCUAUAACAUACCCCAUAACCAGCCCUAUAAGGGACCCUAUAACAGACCCUAUAAGGGACCCUAUAAGGGACCCUAUAAGGGACCCUAUAACCGGACCUAUAAGGGAUCCCAUAACAGACCCUAUAACAGACCCUAUAAGGGACCCUAUAAGGGACCCUAUAACCAGCUCUAUAAGGGACCCUAUAGGGGACCCUAUAACAGACCCUAUAACAGGACCCAUAACCGGCCCUAUAAAGGACCCCACAGCCAGCAGUGUGGGGUGAGACCCUAUAGGGGACCCUAUAAGGGACCCUAUAACAACAGACCCCAUAACCGGCCCUAUAAGGGACCCUAUAAGGAGUCCUAUAAGGGACCCCAUAACAGACCCUAUAAGGAACCCCAUAACUGGCCCUAUAAGGGACCCUAUAACAGACCCUAUAACAGACCCUAUAAGGGACCCUAUAACAGACCCUAUAAGGAACCCUAUAACAGACCCUAUAAGGGACCCUAUAUAACUACAGACCCCAUAACAGACCCCAUAACCGGCCCUAUAAGGGACCCUAUAAGGGACCCUAUAACAGACCCUAUAAGGGACCCUAUAAGGGACCCUAUAACAGACCCCAUAACCGGCCCUAUAGGGGAUCCCAUAACCGGCCCUAUAAGGGAUCCCAUAACCAACCCUAUAACAGACCCUAUAAGGAACCCUAUAAGGAACCCUAUAAGGGACCCUAUAAGGAACCCUAUAACAGACCCUAUAAGGGACCCUAUAA
rnacentral:lncRNA from 1 species